rnacentral:tRNA from 1 species
GCCGUGAUGCCACAAUGGCUACUGGGCUGGUCUUGAAAACCGGUGAUCCGUGAAAGCGGACUGGGGGUUCGAAUCCCUCUCACGGCG